rnacentral:rRNA from 1 species
CCUACGGGUGGCAGCAGUGAGGAAUAUUGGUCAAUGGACGAGAGUCUGAACCAGCCAAGUAGCGUGAAGGAUGACUGCCCUAUGGGUUGUAAACUUCUUUUAUAUGGGAAUAAAAUGUUCCACGUGUGGGAUUUUGUAUGUACCAUAUGAAUAAGGAUCGGCUAACUCCGUGCCAGCAGCCGCGGUAAUACGGAGGAUCCGAGCGUUAUCCGGAUUUAUUGGGUUUAAAGGGAGCGUAGGUGGAUUGUUAAGUCAGUUGUGAAAGUUUGCGGCUCAACCGUAAAAUUGCAGUUGAAACUGGCAGUCUUGAGUACAGUAGAGGUGGGCGGAAUGCGUGGUGUAGCGGUGAAAUGCUGAGAUAUCACGAAGAACUCCGAUUGCGAAGGCAGUUCACUGGACUGCAACUGACACUGAGGCUCGAAAGUGUGGGUAUCAAACAGGAUUAGAUACCCUUGUAGUC